GAUGAACGCUGGCGGCGUGCCUAAUACAUGCAAGUCGAGCGAACAGACGAGGAGCUUGCUCCUCUGACGUUAGCGGCGGACGGGUGAGUAACACGUGGAUAACCUACCUAUAAGACUGGGAUAACUUCGGGAAACCGGAGCUAAUACCGGAUAAUAUAUUGAACCGCAUGGUUCAAUAGUGAAAGACGGUUUUGCUGUCACUUAUAGAUGGAUCCGCGCCGCAUUAGCUAGUUGGUAAGGUAACGGCUUACCAAGGCAACGAUGCGUAGCCGACCUGAGAGGGUGAUCGGCCCCACUGGAACUGAGACACGGUCCAGACUCCUACGGGAGGCAGCAGUAGGGAAUCUUCCGCAAUGGGCGAAAGCCUGACGGAGCGACGCCGCGUGAGUGAUGAAGGUCUUCGGAUCGUAAAACUCUGUUAUUAGGGAAGAACAAAUGUGUAAGUAACUAUGCACGUCUUGACGGUACCUAGUCAGAAAGCCACGGCUAACUACGUG
rnacentral:rRNA from 1 species